rnacentral:tRNA from 2 species
GUCAGGAUGGCCGAGCGGUCUAAGGCGCUGCGUUCAGGUCGCAGUCUCCUCUGGAGGCGUGGGAUCGAAUCCCACUUCUGACA